rnacentral:sRNA from 12 species
AAGUGUAUCGAAGGACCUAACCGGUGAAGAUCAAGCGAGUCACGGACAUCUAAGGAUGAGCACAAGCUGCUAUCAUGGCGGAGCGAUAAUAACCCACAGAGGGAUAGAAGAUAUUCCUUAUCCUCGCAACGGCAUAAGAGGAGAUAGUCAUUAAAUGGCGUCGUGAACACGUAAGUGUCAAUGGACAGUGAACGCUGAAAGAAAAGGCGGAAACUGACAGCAGAUAUCUAAAGAGAUAUCUGUUUAGUGGGUCCCAUGUGUACGGGCGAUUAGGGGCUAGAGAUAGCCGGAUGUACACCUACA